rnacentral:rRNA from 1 species
GAUGAACGCUGGCGGCGUGCCUAAUACAUGCAAGUCGAGCGAACAGACGAGGAGCUUGCUCCUCUGACGUUAGCGGCGGACGGGUGAGUAACACGUGGAUAACCUACCUAUAAGACUGGGAUAACUUCGGGAAACCGGAGCUAAUACCGGAUAAUAUAUUGAACCGCAUGGUUCAAUAGUGAAAGACGGGUUUGCUGUCACUUAUAGAUGGAUCCGCGCCGCAUUAGCUAGUUGGUAAGGUAACGGCUUACCAAGGCAACGAUGCGUAGCCGACCUGAGAGGGUGAUAGGCCACACUGGAACUGAGACACGGUCCAGACUCCUACGGGAGGCAGCAGUAGGGAAUCUUCCGCAAUGGGCGAAAGCCUGACGGAGCAACGCCGCGUGAGUGAUGAAGGUCUUCGGAUCGUAAAACUCUGUUAUUAGGGAAGAACAAAUGUGUAAGUAACUAUGCACGUCUUGACGGUACCUAAUCAGAAAGCCACGGCUAACUACGUG